rnacentral:snRNA from 1 species
CUCACUUUGGCGGGGCAAAUUCUAAGUUGGGACACACAGAGAUGAUUAGCAGGGACCCUGGGCAAGGGUGAUAUGCAAAUACAUGAAGUGUUCCAUAUUUAA